CUUUUACAGGGCGCUCGGGCGCUCUGCGACACCUAAUCGCCAUUAUUGUCUAUCGAUCCAGCGGUCAUUUGGUAAAUGGCAUCUUUUAAUUUCCUCUGGGAUGCCACCUAUCGACGGUUUUGCUGGACGUCCCUGACGUCCCAUCAUAGGAGGAACCCAGUCUAGUUCCUUCUUAUAUCCCAACAGUAUCAUUCUGAAAAAUCACACUCAAGAAAAAUCGGAAUCCCUCCAGGGAUACGAGGGAUCGCUCCAGUUCCAGAGGGUCGGCGGGCGCCGGCGUCGUGUCUCUGCAAGGAUGCAACCAGAAGUCCUCCCGGCCAGAGCCACCUGAGAAGCCACGCAAGUACAAAACAACGCAACUGCCACGCACUCCAAACGGAAACCCCGUCAUUCUUCCACACGCGGCCUCCUCCAACCUCCACGCCGCGUUUCGGUCGGGUCGGUUAUACUCCAGCGCGCUAAAACUGCGAACUCACGCGCGGUGCCAUAAGGAGUUACGCGCUUCUGACUUAUUGUUAGCGCUGUGCUCAGGUGAGCGCGAGGGGGACAACCGGUCCCGUUCGCCCCGCUCCUUCGCGCCGCCACCCGCGCCCCCGAUUUCGGAGCUGUUGCCCCGUCGAGGCUGCCGAAUCGUCCACGUAUUUGACGCUAAGUCGAUCAAGUAGAACCGGUUUCGGCACUAUCUGGUAAGGCUGUGCCCCCUCCUUUUUUACCUGUGCCCCUCGCCCUGGACUCCCAACGUCCGCGCUCCGCGCCUAGCACCUAACGGAGUUGGCCAUUCGCCGCUUCCCGCUUCGUCCCUAGCCUCUCCUUCCUCUUCCUCCUUCCUCCUCCUUCCUCUUUCCACUCACCUGCCUCACCGUUCGUUGACUGGAGACUCGGCGUGCAUCGCUCAGUGUCUGCCUCCGCUACGCGCCGUCCGCCUCAUACCGCGCUUUCUCUUACCCGUGUUUACCUGUCUCCUCCCCGGAAACGCUGUGCAUUCGCCAGGAUCGCUACGAAUUCUGGAGUCAUCCCGUCUGACUCGCGGCCAGCUACUCGAGUGCGUGACGACGUUUGUUUUUGUGAGAAACUGUUUUAGUUUUUUAAAAAAAAACCGGCUGGGAAUGGUGAAAGGCCACGCACGAUCGGCAGCGGUGUGGAAUUUACUCUUGCGGGUCAACGGCGAUCUUCAUCAAUUGAUGACUGGUUGAUUUCUUACGAGAUGAUCACGCUGUAGAUUAUAGCCUUCGAGUCCUGUCGAACCUGUCGAAAAAAUAAUAUAAACUCUUUCAAAGUUUUAAGAAAAAAGAGCUCUUUCAAAAAUGAAGGGGACGCUGGUUUCAACUGUCUUCAUUCCGUCUGAUUCGAACUGUCUCUGAAAAUCCUGCUAACUUGAUACAGCAUUUCGGUUAGUAUCUUUAGUUUUGUAUUGCUUUAUUUAUACUUACUUUCCCCUUUGAGCCACC
rnacentral:lncRNA from 1 species